UUUGAGUAAAAGCAUAUUGUUCGCUUCUACUGUUUCAGAGACGAACCAGAUCGUCUACGUAGGUAAAGAAGUUGGAGAUCAGAAAAAAAAGCGAUAACAAAAAACGAGAUGGCCACUGCGAAGAAACUGGUAGCGUAUCUCAUCAUUUCUGCCUUGUUGGCACUAAGUCCUGCUGUGGAUGCAUCUUCGCAAAACUUAUGGUAUAGGAGCCACUGCUGGAGACAUGACUGCUACAGAGGGGUCGAAUGUCCUCCCCCUUGCCAGUGCCCUGGAAUCGUUCAGCGCAUGUUUGGACACUACACUUGUCAUUGAUGGAGAUCCCAAAUGUAAAUUUUAAGGGGUGA